rnacentral:lncRNA from 1 species
CCGUGGCUGCGCCGCCGCCCGCAGGGGCUGCCGGAGGCUUUUCCUGUUCCCGUCCGCGCCUCGCCCCCGGGCUCGCCGCCGCCGCCGCCUCGGCCGUAACCUCCCUGGAGCCUAUAGAAAUCUUUUGUGUGGCGUCACCGCCUUUCGUUUAAAUCCCGCUUCCUCCUCUCGCCCUUCCUCCCGCCCCCUCCGCCGCUCCCGGAUGCUUGCGCGAUGCGCUGCUCCUCCCCCGGGAAGCUGGGUGGCUGCGGGGGACGCCGCCGCCCAACGCGGACGCUGCCGGCGUGGGGCCGGUGGUCCUGAACUCCCCCGUGGUCCUGGGCCGAGAGACUGGGGGAGCGGACAGGGGAAGGCCUGCUCCGGCCCGGGGGCUCUGCGCACACCCAUGGGAGACCGGGGCGCAGCCGCCCGCGGGCCUUACGUAAGCUCUUAGCCGGACCAGGGGGCUCCACGCUUCCUCCCCGCCAAGAGAGCAAGUCUAAAAGUGCAGUGUAACGAAAAGAGGAAAAGAGCACUGGAUGGGGAGUCCGAAGAGUGGUGCUAGAUGCCUGCCCGUUCCUCCCUUGAAAUACGCCUUAUGCAGUGAGAGCGCGGGUUCUGAAGCAGAUUUCCUAGGAUCAGCCUUUCUCAAGCCAUUUAUGAGUUCCAUGACAUUGUUCAAGUUCUCUUUCCAAGUAUCCGUCUUCUCUUCUAGAAAUUAGAGAUUGUGCACAGGCUGCUUGAGUACUUGGUUCCUAAACAGUAGCUGUUAGAAUUAUUAUGAGCCCUGAUCAGCGCACUUUGCCCUCUCAUAACGUCUAUUUAUUCGUCUGUAUAAUGGAAUAAUAGUGGCUGCUGUUAAAUGAAUUAAAUACGACGGCGUUUGGAGGGAAACAUUACUACUCCAGUUUUACAGAUAAGGAAACUGAUGAUCAGGUGCUUGAAGUGACUUCCGAAGAUCAGGAAGACAGCAUAUGGCAGGGACAGGAACCCACGCCUACGCCCCAGCCUCUUUUUACCGAACCUUGUUCUUCAGGAAGUGGUUAAAACACCUGGGCUACUCCCAGCAAAACGCCAGUCACGCAGUCCUGAAACAGGUCCUCUAAGGUGCCCAGCCCAACACAGGCUGGGCGUGCUGAGCCAACAGAAUGUUUGUUCCUCUGUCCCUUCCUAGAACCCCAAGUCACCUUUCUCCAGCCAGUUAAAAACGUUACUUUUAACUAGGAUGACGUUUCAAUUUAUCGGCCAUAUCCAAGCAUUUCUGAGAAUGAACUGUGAGACAUGCUAUUAAUAAAUUAACCAUGAACAGCAGGUUCAAACCUGGAUGGAUAGUCAUCCUACUUAUAACUGAAAGUAUCCUUAAAUAUCUUUAGAAUCCGGAUGAGCCCACUUAGUUUGCAAACCGAGGUCAAUAAAACUGACUUGAAAUAGGAAGUAAUUAUGUAGGGUUAAUUCCUUUUUUUCUUCUACAAGAGAAAAAAAAAACAGCUGGAUAAGUCAAGGUUUUUCCAUGGUGACCCAGGGAUUGCACCUUAGUCCUUCUUAAGCUCCAAAAACUUAUGAGAGGGGGCCGAAAGCGAUGGCUCACACCUGUAAUCCCAGCACUUUGGGAGGCCAAGGCAGGCGCAUCACGAGGUCAGGAGAUCAAGACCAUCCUGGCUAACACAGUGAAACCCCGUCUCUACUAAAAAUGCAAAAAAUUAGCCGGGCAUGGUGGCGGGCGCCUGUAGUCCCAGCUACUCGGGAGGCUGAGGCAGGAGAAUGGCAUGAACCCGGGAGGCGGAGCUUGCAGUGAGCGGAGAUCGCGCCACUGCACUGCAGCCUGGGCGACAGAGGGAGACUCCGUCUCAAAAAAAAAUAAAUAAAUAAAUAAAUAAAACUUAUGAGAGGGAAGUCAGACUGUUCUGUGCCUAGUUUAUUCUUGAGGCUGCUCUAAGAUCAGAUUUUUUUUCCAAAGCCACGUAGUGCCCCUGGGGGUCCCAUUUUCCCUUUCUUCUACAUAUGCAGUCUGUUUUGUUGUUGAUGGAAACCCACCCCGACAAUGAGUUGUGUUACACACAGACUGUCCACUCUAUUCAGUGAGGUUUGGUUUCAUUUUUAAAACUGAUAGCAUUGUUUUCUCGGCCUUCCCUGCUUCAUUUUUCAGAUAGGGAAGCUCCUAAACUGAUCCUCCCAGGCACUGCCUCCACCUUUCUUUAGGUUCACCUUUACUUUGUCCGAUUGUUCAAUCACUCCACAAUCACUGGGCACCAGUCUUGUGCUAGGCACCAAAGUUACAUAAUUUGUAAUAUGAGGCCCCCACUCUUUAGAGUCCAGGGAUAGGAGUAGAUUCACAAGAAACAGCCACAAUUUCACUAUUGGCACAGUGAGAGCACAGAGUAAAAAACCUAUAGCAGAGAUAAUCAGGCUUCACAGAUACAAUAUUUGUAGGUAGGCAGGGCCAUGUGGUUCUGUCUGACCAAUGAAAUGUAAGGGGAAGCUAUGCAGGUUACUUCUAGGCUGAGACAAUGAAAAGCCAAUCUGUAAUUCUCCACUCUCUUGCCCUCCUAUAACUACCACGGAGACUGCAUUCUAGUUGGUGGAGCCUCUGUAAGCUUAGGUGACCAUGUGGAGCAGACCCUCUUGAUCUGUAGUGGACAUGCAAUGUGAACACAAAGUAAAUUAUUGGUGUGUUAAGUCACAGAGAUUUGAGGGUUGUCUGUUGCUGUUGCAUAUUUUUAGUCUAAUUAGAGGAUGGCUUGUUGGUGUCUGCCCUUAGAGUCACUCAAGCAAUGGCUUUUUCUUUAGAAAACUCCACCUAUUACCCCUUCUAACCCUCUCAAAAUUAAAAUAAAUAUAAAUCAAAAGUAUUUGCUGUGAUCUGACCCCCAAAUUCAUAUGUUAAAACUUAAUCACCAGUGUCACAGUAUUACAAGGUGAGCCUUUGGGAGAUGGUUAAGUCAUGAGGUGGAGCCCUCUUGAAUGGGGUUAGUGGCCUUAUAAAAGAGGUGUGAGAGAGUUGUUCACCUCUUUUGCCCUUUCAUCAUGGGAGGAUGCAGCAACAUAGAGGACGCAUCAUCUAUGAGGAAUGGGCCCCUGCUGGGGCCUUGAUCUUCUACUUCCCAGCUCUAGAGCUGUGAGCAAUAAAUUUCUAUUAGUUAUAAAUUACCCAGUCUAAGGUAUUUUGUUAUAGCAGCUCAAAUGGACUAAGUAUUUUUUUUUUUAAUGGAUGUUGAGUGAGAGAAGAAAGCGGAAAAUGUGUGGACUGAGGAUUGGCUGAGGGAAGGUAAAUGGAGUGGAUGAGAGGGAGCUGGUAAAUGGCCUGGCCCCUAGAGAAUGCAUUCUCAAUACUGGCUCAAGGCCUACACUGAAAUAGGCAUCUGAUGAAAAGUAAGUGAACAAGUUGCAAAGAGAGAACUGAGGAUUUGGGCAGGACAAGAGGAACUGACAGGUUGAGACAGGCAGGAUUGGGGAAACAUCUUUUACCUCGUCUCUUGCCUGUUUUAGAAGGUGCAUCCACCACUUGGUAUAAGAGAACAUUAUGGGCAUUCUGUUUUGUUUUUAUGUUUUAAAUCGUGGUAAAAUAGCAUAAUAUCAUCUUACCCAUUGUUAAGUACAUUAUCGUGCAACCAUCACCAUCCUCUAUCUCCAGAAAUGUUUAAUCUUGCCCAACUGAAACUCCAUACCCAUUAAGUAACUGCUCCCCACUCCCCCUUCCUCCAGUCCCUGGCAACCACCAUUCUACUUUCUCUAUGAAUUUGACUACCCUAGGUACCUCAUGUUAGUGGAACCAUACAAUAUUUGUUAUUUUGUGCCUGGCUUAUUUCACUUAACAUAAUAUCUUUUUUUUUUUUUUUUUUUUUUUU